GGCUGGGCCCGCCCCGCUCCGCCCCGCGCGGGCCUCGGGUCCUGCCAGAGCCCCGCGACCCCCGAGCUGGCCUCGGCAAAAAGCAGCGGCCCCCUGCGGGAGGCAGGACGGGGGAGGUGGGGGGCACCGAAGAUGAAGGCCCUUACACCCAAGGAGAGCAAAUGACCUGCCACCAUUGCAAAACUAACAAAUGGCAACAUGGGGCUUUGAGGCUAGACCUGUCGGACCACACAAGCUAUGCUCCAAACAACCACCAGGACAUUCUGGGGUGCCCAUCCAGUUCUCUGCCAAUUAUUUGCGCAGGCACCCUGGGAAAUCACAGCCAGGGUUGGGUCGGCAAGGACAGGUGCCCAGAAAGCCUGCUGUUCUCAGACCUUGGAUCACAACAGCUUGGCCAGGGUUUGGUGACCCUGCCCUGGCUGCUAUCGGCGUCACCAGCAGACAGACUGGUGGCUUGACUGGCUGUAGGACGGAAACGGACAGGGGCUCUGAAUGCCAGACUCUAUCAAGCCCCGGGCAGUCUGGCCUGAACCAGCUGGAUUCCAGAAGCCCACACACGUCCUUCUCCUGCCUCUGCCUCUGUCCGGAGUGCCAGUUUUACGUCCGCACUGAGGUAAGAGGCGACAAGGGGCCACGUGCACCGCUCUGGGCUCUGAACAUGAUGUUCACUGCUAAAGCCGAUGGUCAGUGGAGCGGCUCCCCCAGGGGCAGGGAACAUUUUGCCAGGCUUGGAUUAACUUCUGCAUUGCUGAGCCCCACCCCGGCACUAUAUUAACUAAUGGACACAUCCUGGAGGGGGCGGGUGGAGGAGGAGGCAGGGAGCUCGGUGCCUUGGUUCUGAUUGAGAAAUCAAGCCCAUGGAAAGCAAUGCCAAGGCCACUAGCCAGGACCCAGCCCGCAGCUGGCCUUCAAGGGAUGGACACAUCAGCAUCUCGCUGAUCAUCGUCAUGCGCAGACCCACUGCCUGUGCCUUACUGGCAGCUGGUGCCUGUCCUGGUUAGGGAAAUCAGGUGUAAGGAAUCUCGUACUGUCAGCACAGAUUCAGGCCCCUCUGAGUGGCUGAGGGAGCACGGGGUGGGACUGGGUGAGGUUAGGCCCCAGGGUCUCAGACUGUCCCGCUGGACCCUACGGGACAGCAGGGGUGCAGUCCAGUGUGGCCCCGUCGCCAGAGUGAGAGGCAAGGGCCCAGACAGGAAGCUCAGGCAUCUCACCCAGGAGCUACAGGGCAGCCUGCGCCAUCCUCACUGUGGUCUCUUUGGAGCAACCUUUGCUCACUGCAAGGCAGCUUCAAGUCCAAAGUCCCACCUGAGAGAAAAAUCACAUGACCUUGGCUUAUAUAAUCUCCCUGUCACUGAACAGCUGGAACUCCGGGCUUCGGGAGAUGAGUCAGCAGCCCGAGUGGCAAGCGGGACCCAGGUAACUCAGUGCCCAGACCCUUUGCUCCAAGCAGCCAGGUCCCGGAGCAGAGCCCAGGGGUGUGGAGGACACUGCAUGGGAAGACUGGGCUGGGCCAGCCUCGGAGCCGCUGUCCCUGGCUCCAAGUACGAGGAGCAGGUGCCCGGGCUACUGACUCUGCUUCCCAGGGCCCUGGGCCAAGCCCUGGCUCCUCUUGGGAAGAGGAGGGGGUAGCCCGGGCAGGGUGGGGCGAGGGCAGGGUUGAGGCCAGUGGGCGGGGUGCCAGGGCUGGUGAGGGAGCAGCUGGAGGGGCGGAGUGGAGGAGGAUUAGGACGGAUAGUAGGGGUUAAAGCCCAGCCCUGCCAGGGUUCAGUGGGAACAGCUUGUCCUUCCAUAGGCCUGGGAACAAGAGGGGUGGGGUGGAGGGGGAGGUGAUAGCAUUGGGUACUUCAGCUCCUGGCGCUUGGCAAGGCCCAGCCACCUGUGCUGGCUUGGAGAAUCCCUGCUGCGGGUAGCAAAAGGUCUUUUCUUUUCUUUUCUUUUUUCUUUUUUUUUCUUUCUUUCUCUCUCUCUCUCUCUUUUUUUUUUUUUUUUUUAACAGCACCUGCUGUCCCCUCUGGCUCCUCCGUGUGCAUUUCCAGAGGAAGGUGGAGCCUCAGGGCAGGUGCUGAGUGGCACCCGUGGGCUGGGGUUUUGUUCGUGCUUACAUGGGCACAGGAAGGGUUACCCCCACCGCUCAUCUGAGUUUGAUAGUCCAAGUUCCAUCCCUUUCUGAAGGCUGAGUAUGGUUCAGGUCAGCUGCCCCGAGCCCCCUGGGCCACCGCAUGUACUUUCUCACCUCUGUCCCUCCCCCGGGGAGGCCCUGCCCACUGGAGGCAGCCACCCAGGCCCCUGGGGUCCUCCUCCCCGUGUUGCCCUGGCUUCAGAGCCUCCUGGGCAUCCCGAGGAGGUGGACGGGGCAGGCAGGAUCGUUGCCUUUUAUAGACGAGGAAAUACAGUGGAGCUGAUAGGUGUCCAGGGUCAAGGGAGGCCAAGGGCCCCUCCCCUCAGUCACAAGCAGCCCAGCCCAACCUCAGAUGGCCUCUUGCUUUCCCUCUGCCGAGAACACCCAGGGCUGCCUCGGACUUGGAAUUGCUUAAGCACUUGUUUCUCCCAAAUGAAAAGCAAAUGCUCUCAGGCCAGGGCUGAGGCGCCUGCAUCACUUGCCUCCCAGAACACCUGGAAGGCGCGAGGAGGACUUCACGCUCCCUGAGCACCUACUACGUGCCAGGCAGUCUCAUGCACAGCCAGCACCUUCCCGUCCCUUGCAGUCACUGCGGAAGCGGGAGCUGUAAGUGCUCCCAUCACAGAUUCAGAAGUUCAGGGACCCGAGCUCGCCCUGCCAGUCAGCUGAGCCUUGCACACGAGUGAGUGAGAAGGCAAGGUCCCCAAGGGAGAUUCUGAAAAGAAACCAGACCAGGUGUUCAGACAGAAGUGGUCUAGGCCCCACGGGCAGGAUUUGUUCAGGGCUCAGCAAGUGCAGGGAGCUCCAGGAAGUGAGGGCGGGAGGGACAAGGGGAAAUAAAGCCUUAUCCCACAGGCCCCUGAGCUCAGGAUGAGACGCCAGUUCCCCUGCAGGUACUCCCAGCUGCCUGUGUGUGCUGUGGGUGCUUCUGGAUGGGAGAGGCCACGUUAGGGUGCAGAGUUUGCCCCAGUCUCUGCCACUGUCCUCUCUCACAGCUCCCCGACCCUGGUGCUGGAACUGGGGCCGUGCAGCAAAUUCCAGGGAGGGUUGGGAUGCGCCUGUUGGGGAAGGGGCCUGACACCCCCCGCCCUGUAGAGAGAGGUCCUCUGAGGAUUUGGUGCGAAGGGCAGGUGCCCAAGCCCCAUCCCAACAGAGCCCUGGGCCAGCCCACAAGCCCAGCAGGUGAUUCUGAUGCAGGCAGGCUGCAGACCCAGCUUUGGGUCUCUGAGCAAAGGGAGGGAGCCCCACGGAGCUUCCCGGACCCCAGCUCCUCCCGCAAGAGCCAUUCUGAACAACAUCUCCCAAGCACGGCACACAGCCCUGUGAGAAAACGUGCUCCUUCCCAGACCAGCCCAGGUGGGUCACGUCUGUUCUCCAGCUCCUUUCUAUGCUGGCUCUCAGUGCAGCCAGCCCUGCCCCAUCGGGGUCUCACUGCUCUGGGGUGCACCAGCUUCGUGUCUCAUGGCACUUCACAGAUGGCCUAGCCAGGCCAAGACUCACUAAGUAGUUAUCAAAGGUGUCUUCUCCAGCCCUUUAAUUAAGACAAGAGUCACGGCCAGUAACCCAACGCCCGACCCUAGUCCUGGACCCUUGCUGUAUUUGCCCGGCUAAGUCCUCCAGGCAGUAUUUCUUGGGGGUGGCAUAGCUGUUCUUUCCAACAAGCCUCAUAUCCCUGGACUAGGGAAGGGGCAAUGGAGGAGACAUAACACCCAAUCCUCCUGCACCCGUGCUUGCUGUCUGUCCUUCCAUUCGUCCAUCCACACGUCCACCUGUCCACCCACCCAUCCGCCCAUGCAGUCAGAGGCCAGCUAAGCCCCUUGCGGUGCCAGGCACAUGGUGAGGAAUCUCCACAUAGGAUUUCUCUCCCACCCUCUGAGAGCAUGCUCCCAAUGGGCACACCACAAACACAGAGGGUGGAAUGUGGUCAGUGACCCAAGAGAGGGGUCAGAUGUCCGAGAGGCCAGGCCAGCCUUUGGUCCCUACCCAGCAGAGCCACUGCCCUCUCUCCAGCCGAGGGGUUGGGUUGUCUCGGGCCCCAGACAAAACGUUCUCUGCUAUUUUCUCUGAACUGCUGUCCAGACACCCUGGUCCUGAACCCACCAAUGUGGGUGGGCGGAGACUCCCGCUUCCCCUGAUAUCUUAUACUCAGAUGCAGGGCCUGAGCAGGGGGAGGGAGGCAACUAGGACGGGGAAGCUCCUCUUGCCACAAGGAGCACUGGUGGUCUUGGGACCCCAGCAUUUAGCCCAGGAUGGGGCAGCGUCUGCAGGAAACAGGAAUUGGGUGGAAAAGGAGAGGGUGAGAACGGCAGCGUGUGUGUGUGUGUGUGUGUGUGAGAGAGAGAGAGAGAGAGAGGGGAGAGAGAGAGAGAUGGGGGCAGCUGACAGUUCCAUGAGCACUGCUGACCGCCCGCGAACGCUGGGAAAGGCCCUCCCCUUGGCGCUGAGCACGGAUGCAGUACGCGUGCCAGUAUGACUUCUCUGCCUUCGCCUCCACCAGGCGCCACUGCCAUCCACACCAGUCAGGAUGGCAGUCCUGCCCCCAACCCAGCUCUUCUCCACCACUGGCUGGCUGUCUCCCAACCUGUCCCUGGGUCCCCAGGGUGCACUUACCA